AGUGAACGCUGGCGGUAGGCCUAACACAUGCAAGUCGAACGGCAGCACAGUAAGAGCUUGCUCUUACGGGUGGCGAGUGGCGGACGGGUGAGGAAUACAUCGGAAUCUGCUUUUUCGUGGGGGAUAACGUAGGGAAACUUACGCUAAUACCGCAUACGACCUACGGGUGAAAGCAGGGGAUCUUCGGACCUUGCGCGAUUGAAUGAGCCGAUGUCGGAUUAGCUAGUUGGCGGGGUAAAGGCCCACCAAGGCGACGAUCCGUAGCUGGUCUGAGAGGAUGAUCAGCCACACUGGAACUGAGACACGGUCCAGACUCCUACGGGAGGCAGCAGUGGGGAAUAUUGGACAAUGGGCGCAAGCCUGAUCCAGCCAUACCGCGUGGGUGAAGAAGGCCUUCGGGUUGUAAAGCCCUCUUGUUGGGAAAGAAAAGCAGCAGGUUAAUACCCCGCUGUUCUGACGGUACCCAAAGAAUAAGCACCGGCUAACUUCGUG
rnacentral:rRNA from 1 species